GUUUUUCCUUAUCUAUCUAAUACGUUGAUUUAUCUGGAACCUGUCCCAUUGCGCUUUCAGGUUCAAAAGCGCAAUAAGACAGGUUCUCGUUUAGUUGCUGCACCCGAAUCCCGG
rnacentral:sRNA from 1 species